AAAAUCCGUCGACUUUUGAAAUCGUGAGGGUUCAAGUCCCUCUAU
rnacentral:tRNA from 1 species